GAUGAAGAACGUAGCGAAAUGCGAUACUUGGUGUGAAUUGCAGAAUCCCGUGAACCAUCGAGUCUUUGAACGCAAGUUGCGCCCGAAGCCAUUAGGCCGAGGGUACGCCUGCCUGGGCGUCACACGUCGUUGCCCCCCCAUCUACUCCUUCGGGAUUGCGGGGGGCGGAUGAUGGCCUCCCGUGCGCCUCGUCGCGCGGUUGGCAUAAAUACCAAGUCCUCGGCGACGCACGCCACGACAAUCGGUGGUUGCGAAACCUCGGUUGCCCGUCGUGUGCGGUCGUCGCGCAUCGAGGGCUCGAAAAAAUUGCCGGGCUCCGGCUCGGCUUUCAACGCGACCCCAGGUCAGGCGGGGUUACCCGCUGAAUUUAAGCAUAUCAAUAAGCGGAGGA
rnacentral:misc_RNA from 1 species